UGGUGUAGCUCAGCUGGUAGAGCGGCGCAUUCGUAAUGCGUAGGUCGUAGGUUCAAAUCCUAUCACCAG
rnacentral:tRNA from 1 species